rnacentral:tRNA from 4 species
GCGCGCGUAGCUCAGUUGGUAGUAGCACCGAGCUUAUACCUCGGGGGUCGUAGGUUCGAGCCCUACCGCGCGCACAA